UACGUAGGGACCAAGCGUUGUUCGGAUUUACUGGGCGUAAAGGGCGCGUAGGCGGCAUUGUUAGUCACUUGUGAAAUCUCCGGGCUUAACUCGGAACGGCCACGUGAUACUGCAGUGCUAGAGUGCGGAAGGGGCAAUGGGAAUUCUUGGUGUAGCGGUGAAAUGCGUAGAUAUCAAGAGGAACACCUGAGGUGAAGACGGGUUGCUGGGCCGACACUGACGCUGAGUGCGCGAAAGCCAGGGGAGCAAACGGG
rnacentral:rRNA from 1 species